AUUUCAUGCGCGCCAGACGGUCUGGUAGAGAAUUGGGAAACCGGUGCAAGUCCGGUACUGCCCCCGCAACGGUAUAGAAGAGAAGCGUUGACCUAAAACCACUGGGAGGAGGAUCCCGGGAAGGUGUCAGCGUGUGGCCUCGCCCUCUUUCAAGUCCGGAAACCAGCCUUGCAGAUACGUCAAAC
rnacentral:ncRNA from 2 species